rnacentral:rRNA from 1 species
GACGAACGCUGGCGGCGUGCCUAAUACAUGCAAGUUGAGCGCUGAAGGUUGGUACUUGUACCAACUGGAUGAGCAGCGAACGGGUGAGUAACGCGUGGGGAAUCUGCCUUUGAGCGGGGGACAACAUUUGGAAACGAAUGCUAAUACCGCAUAAAAACUUUAAACACAAGUUUUAAGUUUGAAAGAUGCAAUUGCAUCACUCAAAGAUGAUCCCGCGUUGUAUUAGCUAGUUGGUGAGGUAAAGGCUCACCAAGGCGAUGAUACAUAGCCGACCUGAGAGGGUGAUCGGCCACAUUUGGACUGAGACACGGCCCAAACUCCUACGGGAGGCAGCAGUAGGGAAUCUUCGGCAAUGGACGAAAGUCUGACCGAGCAACGCCGCGUGAGUGAAGAAGGUUGUCGGAUCGUAAAACUCUGUUGGUAGAGAAGAACGUUGGUGAGAGUGGAAAGCUCAUCAAGUGACGGUAACUACCCAGAAAGGGACGGCUAACUACGUG